rnacentral:rRNA from 1 species
GACGAACGCUGGCGGCGUGCCUAAUACAUGCAAGUAGAACGCACAGUUUAUACCGUAGCUCGCUACACCAUACACUGUGAGUUGCGAACGGGUGAGUAACGCGUAGGUAACCUGCCUGGUAGCGGGGGAUAACUAUUGGAAACGAUAGCUAAUACCGCAUAAUAUUGAUUAUUGCAUGAUAAUUGAUUGAAAGAUGCUAUUGCAUCACUACCAGAUGGACCUGCGUUGUAUUAGCUAGUAGGUGAGGUAACGGCUCACCUAGGCGACGAUACAUAGCCGACCUGAGAGGGUGAUCGGCCACACUGGGACUGGGACACGGCCCAGACUCCUACGGGAGGCAGCAGUAGGGAAUCUUCGGCAAUGGACGAAAGUCUGACCGAGCAACGCCGCGUGAGUGAAGAAGGUUUUCGGAUCGUAAAGCUCUGUUGUAAGAGAAGAACGGGUGUGAGAGUGGAAAGUUCACACUGUGACGGUAUCUUACCAGAAAGGGACGGCUAACUACGUG